GACGAACGCUGGCGGCGUGCCUAAUACAUGCAAGUAGAACGCUGAAGCGAGGAGCUUGCUCUUCUUGGAUGAGUUGCGAACGGGUGAGUAACGCGUAGGUAACCUGCCUUGUAGCGGGGGAUAACUAUUGGAAACGAUAGCUAAUACCGCAUAACAAUGGAUGACACAUGUCAUUUAUUUGAAAGGGGCAAUUGCUCCACUACAAGAUGGACCUGCGUUGUAUUAGCUAGUAGGUGAGGUAAUGGCUCACCUAGGCGACGAUACAUAGCCGACCUGAGAGGGUGGUCGGCCACACUGGGACUGAGACACGGCCCAGACUCCUACGGGAGGCAGCAGUAGGGAAUCUUCGGCAAUGGGGGCAACCCUGACCGAGCAACGCCGCGUGAGUGAAGAAGGUUUUCGGAUCGUAAAGCUCUGUUGUAAGUCAAGAACGGGUGUGAGAGUGGAAAGUUCACACUGUGACGGUAGCUUACCAGAAAGGGACGGCUAGCUACGUG
rnacentral:rRNA from 1 species